rnacentral:rRNA from 1 species
UACGAAGGGGGCUAGCGUUGCUCGGAAUCACUGGGCGUAAAGCGCACGUAGGCGGCUUUCUAAGUCAGAGGUGAAAUCCUGGAGCUCAACUCCAGAACUGCCUUUGAUACUGGAGAGCUUGAGUUCGGGAGAGGUGAGUGGAACUGCGAGUGUAGAGGUGAAAUUCGUAGAUAUUCGCAAGAACACCAGUGGCGAAGGCGGCUCACUGGCCCGAUACUGACGCUGAGGUGCGAAAGCGUGGGGAGCAAACAGG